AGGAUAAACGCUGGCGGCGUGCCUAACACAUGCAAGUCGCACGAGAAAGGGUAGCAAUACCUGAGUAAAGUGGCGCACGGGUGAGUAACACGUGAAUUAUCUACCUCCGAGUGGGGAAUAACUGAGAGAAAUCUUAGCUAAUACCGCAUAACACUUACGAGUCAAAGCAGCAAUGCGCUUGGAGAGGAGUUCGCGGCAGAUUAGUUAGUUGGCGGGGUAAUGGCCCACCAAGACGAUGAUCUGUA
rnacentral:rRNA from 1 species